rnacentral:rRNA from 1 species
CUACGGGUGGCAGCAGUGGGGAAUAUUGGACAAUGGGCGAAAGCCUGAUCCAGCCAUGCCGCGUGUGUGAAGAAGGCCUUCGGGUUGUAAAGCACUUUCAGUGGGGAAGAAAGCCUUGGGGCUAAUACCCUCGAGGAAGGACAUCACCCACAGAAGAAGCACCGGCUAACUCCGUGCCAGCAGCCGCGGUAAUACGGAGGGUGCGAGCGUUAAUCGGAAUUACUGGGCGUAAAGCGCGCGUAGGCGGUCUGAUAAGCCGGUUGUGAAAGCCCCGGGCUCAACCUGGGAACGGCAUCCGGAACUGUCAGGCUAGAGUGCAGGAGAGGAAGGUAGAAUUCCCGGUGUAGCGGUGAAAUGCGUAGAGAUCGGGAGGAAUACCAGUGACGAAGGCGGCCUUCUGGACUGACACUGACGCUGAGGUGCGAAAGCGUGGGUAGCAAACAGGAUUAGAUACCCUGGUAGUC